rnacentral:rRNA from 1 species
AUGACCUCCCGCGGCUACGAGCCGCUCUUCAUGGAUGGCAAGGGCUGCGGCUCCUGCUACCAGAUAAGGUGCUUGAGGUCAAACCACCCUGCGUGCUCCGGCAUGCCGGAGACGGUGAUCAUCACGGACAUGAAGUACUACCCGGUCUCCCACUACCACUUCGACCUCAGCGGCACCGCCAUCGCAGCCGUGGCCAAGGCCGCAACGCCGGCAUCAUUGAUGUGCAGUUCAGGAGAAGUAUUGUGUGUUUGUGAGGCGACACACACACUGAGAGUGAAUGACUUGGCUGUGCAGUGUGCCAUGCCAGUACCCGGGGCUGACGGUGACAUUCUACGUGGGGGCGGGGUGGAACCCAUUCUACACAUGGCAAUACUGUUGGAGUACGAGAACAGCGACGGCGAUGUGAACCAGCUGGACAUCAUGGAGUCGCGGUGA